GCGUAAUUAGUUUAGUGGUAAAAUUCGCCUUUCCCAUGGGCGAGUCCUGGGUUCGAUUCCCAGAUUACGCA